GCACUACAGUAUAAUACAGCAAACAGCAUUGACUGAUCAACAAUCAGCAAAUACGAUGACAUCUUCCGAAGAACUUUGCGGCAGCGGCGUGGGCGAGGCGACAGAAAUACUGCCCUUUUCAGGGCCAUUUAAGAGUGCUUCCAUGAGAGCUGGGCCCUUUUCAGGGCCUCACUGUUCCUCCUGUCCCGCUUCUCCAGUGCCAUCCUUCAGUUAUGCCAGCCGAUAGCCGUUUCGCCCAGCUGGCAUAUGGCCUGGUCAACCAUGAUACAGAGGACCAUCUUUUUCAAUAUUCGCCUUUUGAUAAUAGGCGAAUAUUGUCUUAAUUAUGCCUUGAAUGCGUUAUUUGGUGUUUGACUUUGGAAUCUGAGAAUGGACAUUCAGAAUUCUGCAGUCUCAAUUUGGUGUUUUCCCCGUCUUGUAAAGUGUGGCCACAGCCAUAGAGUGAGAGAUAGUUUAUUGAUAGAACGUAUGCAAAUAUACUUAAGUUCCUCUUCAGUGAAUGUAGAUGCUAUUGAUAAAAAAUAUAUUUUCGAACAGAUCUACAAGCUAGCAGUUUCAAAAUCAGCUGCAUCUAUGCAAAACACAAACAAUGGCUCUUUCAUAAGGACAAGCUGAUGCCAACUUGUUUUUUUUUGACAGCUCACUUUGGUAGAACACUUAAAAGGGUUUCUGGCAAGCAACACAGAAAACACAGGGAACACAAUAGUUAAAAGGGUUAGGGUUUUUCUCACGUUUAACUGUUAACAAAGAAUUUCACUCAUUCUAAAUGUUUCUUUGAAUCUUAAAGAACUACGUAUCGGAUUGUUGUACUGUAGGUAUAAACAGCUGUAUUGGUAGGUUCCUUAAUAGCUAACUAGUUAAAUGUAAAAUGUUCAGCAAUAUUGAGGAGGAUAUUUCGAAGCAGUAAUGUUGUUUAGGUCAUUGGUUAGAAUUUCACUAUUGCAAUUAUUUGUCAUUAUUAGGUGACACUGUUAGGGGACAUUGUUGGCCACGCGAGACGUGGCUAACCCGUCUGUCAUCCCAGUUAUUUCCGCAUAAUUUUGCUUUUACUGUAAAUGUCUACCCUGGACCUGCGCUAUAGGCAUAGGCGUCCUAGGCGAUCGCCUAGGGCGGCAAAUGCGUCGGGGGCGCCCUCUGGUGGCGGCCUUAAUUAAUAAAUUAAUUAAAUCGGUUUAAUCAACACAAUUUCACUCCAUUAGGGGUGUAGUAUGUUGAGGACAGUUUAGGACAAUGUAUCGACAAAAAUCAUCAUCGGAUGUAUAGAAAAUGCAUUUCAUGCAGAGAAUGCGGUGAGUGCUGUAGUGCAAAGUGAGUUUGAAAAUAUUUUUUAAUAAAGCCACAUAGAUUAAGACAAGUGUGCUUAAAUCAAGGGAAGGCAUUUGAAAAAAGUAAAAAAUUUGGAAUUGAGUAAAAAAUGUAAACAUGCACACCAUUUAAGAAAAUGUAAAUGGUUGGAAAAAAAUAAAGUGACAGCUGACUGAAAAGCGCAAAGCAUUGCUAAAAAAUGUAAAAUUAAUUGAACUGAAGAAUCUGA
ensembl:lncRNA